UUGGAGGGCAAGUCUGGUGCCAGCAGCCGCGGUAAUUCCAGCUCCAAUAGCGUAUAUUAAAGUUGUUGCAGUUAAAAAGCUCGUAGUUGAAUUUCGGGAUCAAUCUGUUGGUCGUGCCUUUGGUACGUACUAGCUUAUUGAUUUCUCCCUUCUGACGAACCAUGAUGUCAUUAAUUUGGUGUCAUGGGGAAUCAGGACUGUUACUUUGAAAAAAUUAGAGUGUUUGAAGCAGGCUCACGCUUGAAUACAUUAGCAUGGAAUAAUGAAACAGGACGUUUUGAUUCUAUUUUGUUGGUUUCUAGGAUCGACGUAAUGAUUAAUAGGGAUAGUUGGGGGCAUUAGUAUUCAAUUGUCAGAGGUGAAAUUCUUGGAUUUAUUGAAGACUAACUACUGCGAAAGCAUUUGCCAAGGAUGUUUUCAUUAAUCAAGAACGAAAGUUAGGGGAUCGAAGACGAUCAGAUACCGUCGUAGUCUUAACCAUAAACUAUGCCGACUAGGGAUCGGAUGAUGUUAAUUUUUUAAUGACUCAUUCGGCGCCUUACGGGAAAC
rnacentral:rRNA from 1 species